AUUGAACGCUGGCGGAAUGCUUUACACAUGCAAGUCGAACGGCAGCGCGGACUUCGGUCUGGUGGCGAGUGGCGAACGGGUGAGUAAUGUAUCGGAACGUGCCCAGUCGUGGGGGAUAACGUAGUGAAAAUUACGCUAAUACCGCAUACGAUCUAUGGAUGAAAGCGGGGGAUCGCAAGACCUCGCGCGAUUGGAGCGGCCGAUAUCAGAUUAGGUAGUUGGUGGGGUAAAGGCCCACCAAGCCAACGAUCGGUAGCUGGUCUGAGAGGACGACCAGCCACACUGGAACUGGGACACGGUCCAGACUCCUACGGGAGGCAGCAGUGGGGAAUUUUGGACAAUGGGCGAAAGCCUGAUCCAGCCAUUCCGCGUGCAGGAUGAAGGCCCUCGGGUUGUAAACUGCUUUUGUACAGAACGAAAAGGUUUCUACUAAUACUAGGAGCUCAUGACGGUACUGUAAGAAUAAGCACCGGCUAACUACGUGCCAGCCGCCGCCGUAA
rnacentral:rRNA from 1 species